rnacentral:rRNA from 1 species
AGAACGAACGCUGGCGGCAUGCCUAACACAUGCAAGUCGAACGAGACCUUCGGGUCUAGUGGCGCACGGGUGCGUAACGCGUGGGAAUCUGCCCUUGGGUUCGGGAUAACAGUUGGAAACGACUGCUAAUACCGGAUGAUGACUUCGGUCCAAAGAUUUAUCGCCCAAGGAUGAGCCCGCGUAGGAUUAGCUUGUUGGUGAGGUAAGAGCUCACCAAGGCGACGAUCCUUAGCUGGUCUGAGAGGAUGAUCAGCCACACUGGGACUGAGACACGGCCCAGACUCCUACGGGAGGCAGCAGUGGGGAAUAUGGACAAUGGGCGAAAGCCUGAUCCAGCAAUGCCGCGUGAGUGAUGAAGGCCUUAGGGUGUAAAGCUCUUUUACCCGGGAUGAUAAUGACAGUACCGGAGAAUAAGCCCCGGACUAACUCCGUGCCAGCACGCCGC